rnacentral:tRNA from 1 species
GGCGCCGUGGCGUAGUGGUUAGCGAGCCUGCCUCCAACCCAGAAGUAAUGGGUUCAAGGCUCGUCGCUGCCA